GUAGACACGCUGCUCUUAGGAAGCAGUGCUCAAGCAUCUCGGUUCGAAUCCGAGUGGCGGCA
rnacentral:tRNA from 1 species